ACUGAUAUGACGUGCUUGCACUGAAUUGACGUUGGAUUACCAGUGAGCGGCGGACGGGUGAGUAACACGUGGGCAACCUGCCCUGAAGCGGGGGAUAACAUCUGGAAACAGGUGCUAAUACCGCAUAACAACGAAAACCACAUGGUUUUCGUUUCAAAGAUGGUUUCGGCUAUCACUUCAGGAUGGGCCCGCGGUGCAUUAGCUAGUUGGUAAGGUAACGGCUUACCAAGGCAAUGAUGCAUAGCCGAGUUGAGAGACUGAUCGGCCACAAUGGAACUGAGACACGGUCCAUACUCCUACGGGAGGCAGCAGUAGGGAAUCUUCCACAAUGGGCGCAAGCCUGAUGGAGCAACACCGCGUGAGUGAAGAAGGGUUUCGGCUCGUAAAGCUCUGUUGUUGGAGAAGAACGUGCGUGAGAGUAACUGUUCACGCAGUGACGGUAUCCAACCAGAAAGUCACGGCUAACUACGUGCCAGCAGCCGCGGUAAUACGUAGGUGGCAAGCGUUAUCCGGAUUUAUUGGGCGUAAAGCGAGCGCAGGCGGUUGCUUAGGUCUGAUGUGAAAGCCUUCGGCUUAACCGAAGAAGGGCAUCGGAAACCGGGCGACUUGAGUGCAGAAGAGGACAGUGGAACUCCAUGGUUAAA
rnacentral:rRNA from 1 species